rnacentral:lncRNA from 1 species
GUCAUAUUUUUAAAAAUAAUCUAAAUGUACUGAAAAUUUACAGAAUAAUGUAUAGCCAUGCAAAUAUAUGCAUUCACUGUUAAAAGUUUUUGAAAUGGCUGCCGCUUAGUGGCAAUGGGGGGAAGGGUGACAUCCGCUAUUGCUUGCAAUGGCAAUUCUAGUUAUAUUUAUUCUUCCACACUUUUUUGUCCAUACUAUUUCUCAGAAUUGGCUUGAACAAUAUUGAUGGAACUAUACCAUAAUGUUGACCACCACAUUAAAUAGUGCAGUGGAGUAUGGCAUCAUCAAGAUGGCUGCCGUUGCCAUGGAAACGAAACAAAUGUGAAAAAAUCCAGUUUUUUGUUUUGGUGAACUGUUUGGAUAUGCUUUAACUCAGAAUCAUUAUAUUUUAAUACAAUGUAGGUGCCCACUAUAUACAGGUGUUUGGAUGAUUUUGGCAUACUCAUUGGAACUACUAUGUUGCCAUGGAAACUACACCAAAAAAUUUCAAAAAUAUCAAAAUGCUCCAAACUUAAUGAAACUUCACAGUAACGAUGAGCAACAUUGGAAGAUGUGGAAUUUGGCGUUGGAAUUUCCAAAAUAUCUGUUGUUACCAUGGAAACAAUGCAAAAAGGUCAAAACUUUGAAUUUUCACAGAACAUUCCAGAACAUCAAUGUUAAAUUUAUUCUAGAGACAUUAAAUGGUAUAUGAUGGUAUAUGAUUAUGGAGGGAAAAAAUUGCAGCGGGGGUUUGACUUUGGAAUAUUCAAAAUGGCCGCCGUUACCAUGGAACAGCAAUAAUAUGAAAAACUUCAAAAUGCUUUAAAUUUAAUGAAACUUAUAACAAAUUGUUGCCUAGCUUGUGUAGACUUGACUUUUGAGUUUGGAAUUUUCAAAAUGGCCGCCGUUGCCAUGGAAACAGCAAAAAUUUUCUAAAUGGCUGCCGCUGGCCUGGCAAUGGGGAAAGGGUGCCAUCCGCUAUUGCUUGCAAUGGCAAAUCUAGUUAUGGCACCCUCAACGGAGUUGGGGUGACGUAUUGUUAUUCUACGUUUCUUUUUUUAUGGCACCCUCAACGGAGUUGGGGUGACAUAUUGUUAUUGUUCGUUUCUUUUUGUCUUAUUUUUAUUAUAUUUAUUCUUCCACACUUUUUUGUCCAUGCUAUUUCUCGGAAUUGGCUUGAACAAUAUUGAUGGAACUAUACCAUAAUGUAGACAAGAACAUUCUAUAGUGCAGUGGGGUAUGGCACCGUCAAGAUGGCUGCCGUUACCAUGGAAACGAAACAAAUGUGAAAAAAUCCAGUUUUUUGUUUUGGUGAACUAUUUGGAUACUAUUUAACUCAGAAUCAUUAUAUUUUAAUACAAUGUAGGUGCCCACUAUAUACAGGUGUUGGAUGAUUUUGGCACUCAUUGGAACUACUAUGUUGCCAUGGAAACUACUCCAAAAAUUUCAAAAAUCUCAAAAUGUUCCAAACUUAAUGAAACUUCACAGUAACGAUGAGCAACAUUGGAAGAUGUGGAAUUUGGCGUUGGAAUUUCCAAAAUCGCUGUUGUUACCAUGGAAACAAUGCAAAAA